rnacentral:lncRNA from 1 species
UAACUUUCAAAGUGUUCGAGAGACUCGUGGAAAUUUCCGCCUUCCAUAACAAAAUACGACGUGGGUUUUUCGAGUUGGUAGCGAAGGAAGACUUUCCACUUGAAGGCACGUAGGGUGACAGCGGUGACUCUUAGACCUGAGAGUGGCUGCCCCCGCGUGUUGCUGUAACAACCACGAGGGCUUGGAGUGAGGGUUGGCAAGUGGAAGGAGGAGGCAGCUCAAAUUCCCACACAUCUGGGGCAAACAGAUACUGCACUCCAAUUUCCUGUCGGCGCCGCUGGUUUCUCGCGGAAUUACUUGCUAAGGGCCGGGCUUGGGUUCUCAGCGGGCCUGAGAGGAGGAAGGAAGCGGAGUCCCCGUCUUCCUGUUUCUCCAGGAAUGGAGUGGGCGCUCCAGAAGAGUCCAGAAGGCCAGAAAUAGAGCUUAUUUAUUAGCAUUAUACUAUGCCGUAGCAGCUCAAACACUCUGGUACAGACGAAGGUUGGC